GACGAACGCUGGCGGCGUGCUUAACACAUGCAAGUCGAACGGAAAGGCCCUGCUUUUGUGGGGUGCUCGAGUGGCGAACGGGUGCGUAACACGUGAGUAACCUGCCCUUGACUUUGGGAUAACUUCAGGUAACUGGUGCUCAUACCGGAUAGGAGCUCCUGCUGCUUGUUGGGGGCUGGAAAGUUUCGGCGGUUGGGGAUGGACUCGCGGCUUAUCAGCUUGUUGGUGGGGUAGUGGCUUACCAAGGCUUUGCCGGUUAGCCGGCCUGAGAGGGUGACCGGCGACAGUGGGACUGAGAUACGGCCCAGACUCCUACGGGAUGCAGCAGUGGGGAAUAUUGCAGAAUGGGCGGAAGCCUGAUGCAGCAACGCCGCGUGCGGGAUGGCGGACGUCGGGUUGUAAACCGCUUUCGCCUGUAACGAAGCGUGAGUGACGGUAAUUGGUAAAGAAACGCCGGCUGACUACGUG
rnacentral:rRNA from 1 species